UACGGAGGGUGCGAGCGUUAAUCGGAAUUACUGGGCGUAAAGCGCACGUAGGUGGUUAGAUAAGUCGGAUGUGAAAGCCCUGGGCUUAACCUGGGAACUGCAUUCGAUACUGUCCAACUAGAGUAUGGGAGAGGGAAGCGGAAUUUCCGGUGUAGCGGUGAAAUGCGUAGAUAUCGGAAGGAACACCAAUGGCGAAGGCAGCUUCCUGGCCCAAUACUGACACUCAGGUGCGAGAGCGUGGGGAUCAAACAGG
rnacentral:rRNA from 1 species